CAGUCGCCGCGGUAAUACGGAGGGUGCAAGCGUUGUCCGGAUUUAUUGGGUUUAAAGGGUGCGUAGGCGGCUAUUUAAGUCAGCGGUGAAAGACUCCGGCUCAACCGGAGCAGUGCCAUUGAUACUGGAUAGCUUGAGUGUUGGAGGGGUACAUGGAAUUGAUGGUGUAGCGGUGAAAUGCAUAGAUACCAUCAGGAACACCGAUAGCGAAGGCAUUGUACUGGCCAACAACUGACGCUGAGGCACGAAAGCAUGGGGAGCGAACAGGAUUAGAUACCCGCGUAGUCCCUGUCUCUUAUAC
rnacentral:rRNA from 1 species